rnacentral:rRNA from 1 species
CCUACGGGAGGCUGCAGUGAGGAAUAUUGCUCAAUGGGCGCGAGCCUGAACCAGCCAAGUCGCGUGAAGGAUGACUGCCCUACGGGUUGUAAACUUCUUUUAUAAAGGAAUAAAGUGAGGCACGUGUGCCUUUUUGUAUGUACUUUAUGAAUAAGGAUCGGGUAACUCAGUUCCAGCAGCCGCGCUACUACGGUGGAUCGGAGCGUUAUCCGGAUUUAUUGGGUUUAAAGGGAGCGUAGAUGGGGUGUUAAGUCAGUUGUGAAAGUUUGCGGCUCAACCGUAAAAUUGCAAUUGAUACUGGCAGUCUUGGGUACAGUGGAGGUAGGCGGAAUUCGGGGUGUAGCGGUGAAAUGCUUAGAUAUCACGAAGAACGCCGAUUGCGAAGGCAGCUUACUAAACUGCCACUGACAUUGAUGCUCGAAAGUGUGGGUAUCAAACAGGAUUAGAUACCCCUUAGUC